ACUCAUUGCAGCUUAUCUGAUGGAUGAGAGGGAGACUGAGAACAGAUAUUUGGCUCAAGCAGGUGCAAGACCAGACAUUUGCCUACAGGAGAUCAAGCUCUAGACCUGUUACUGAAAUCUCAUUUCUGUGACACUACGGCAAGUUGGGCCAGUUGUGAAGGAAGCAUAGACUAAGUUCAAGUAAAUGACUCAACAAAACAAUAUUGCUGAGACUUCAGGACACUGUGAGUGUCAUUCCAGCUGUCGUCAGUGGGAAGGCGACACCCAGACUAUUGCCUUAUUUACAGUGACAUCUACCGUCAAAGGCAAUCUGCAGAGGGCCUCUUUUUCUAUCAGAAGGUUUGUUCUGUCUUUGGCAUUUCUCUUCUUCUUCUCCAGUUCUCACUGCUCAGUUGUUCACAGUCAGUUCAACAUUUUAAAUUACUGAAUGUAGUUUAGUCCGCUAUUAUCUUUUCAAACCCAAUAUCCCUGUCCUCAAUCAUUCCUCUGUCUCCAGAGUAUAUGUCAAAAUAGAAGGUUUUGUAUCAUCAGUACAUUUGCUGGUGCAUUUAAGAGUGCUGGGCAUCUCCAGCAUCCAGAAGACACAGUAUCUGCUGGGGUAGCAUCAUCUCAACACCGUAUAUUUAGCAUUCCCACAUAGCUGCCUACUGAGUGUGGCUAUCCCUGACACCAUCCACACACCAAAACCGAGGCCACUCUGGGCACAGGACCCUGUCUGCAGACUUCAAGAGGUUGGUGGAGUCCAGUGACAGCUCAGUUCCAUAGGACUCGACAGAAUCUGCUGUGCUCUAGAGUCAUGAUCCAGCUCUCCCUGUGUACUCUACGGUGUAUGUGUGUAUAUAUACAUACACAUAACAUGUAUAUCAUAUAUUGUGUAUUUACUUAUAAACAUAUAUACAGACAGAAUAUAUACAUAGGUGGUUUAGUGUAGUUGCUAAACAUUUUAGGAACAAUACGUAGGAAGAGUAAUUAUAUUAAUACCAUCAGACUGUGAGUACAGAAGAGAAUAUUUCAAGGAUUUGCUCAGGACACCUGCUGAAAACACCACACACCAUGUUACAGCUACUGAAAUAAUGUUAAUUAGUAAAUAGUGUUUUGCUUUUAUUUUGUCAUAUACAAUCAUUGCUCUGUAUCAUCCAGUUCAAAACUAAUUUGGUCAAACAGGUUUGCUGCAGCAGACAUUCACGAAGGGCUUUGCUCCUCAUACAAAGGUCCCCUGAACCAGUCAGGAAGAUGAGCUAAACUGCUUUGAGAAAUUCAAGGUUUCUUUUAGGUAUUGGGCCAACAGGCUGGAAGUUCUUUGGGUAGUCUCUACAGACAUUUUUAACAGACUUAAAAAUUAAUAUGUUAUUGAAUAGCAGAGUACCAUGACUCUUGUAUUAUUUAGUUUCAUACAGCAGUAAGAUAUUGCUCUUAUUUAUAACUGUAUUGGCAAUUAAAUAGGUAACAAAUGCUAUAUAAAUAGUCUUCAGCAAUUUUUGGAUUGUCGUUGCUAUCUGCAGGCCUGGGGACACAGGAUUCUUUCAGCUAUUCAUACAUAGGUACCUAUGCCUUCUACAAUGACAGCUUUAAAAUGAUUUUGGAAUAUAAGUUUGGGUGCUGAGAUUCUUGGCGAUUUCCACAUAAACUGCUUAUUCAUGAAAUCACAAACUACAUAAGCAGCUGGAGUUUAAACAGGACAAAGGAAAAACAGAAAUCAAGAACAAACUCUCUGAAAAACACCAAGGAUGACUGGGUUCCUUUUUUCCCUCAAAAAUGUCAAAGUGCUGGUUUUUUAAACAUCUGAAAAAUGGAACUGUCAUGAGCAUCUGAAAUUGUUCAAAUUUAUGUACUCAGGUAUGAGGGUGAAAUUUGCUACAAUACAAGUGACACAGGAAUUGGCUGUGCAGCACAUCAGUACUGUUAAGCUGAGUCAGAGAACCGGUUUUCACGCGACAACCCAGUACUCUGUCAGAGACAUUCCCUGUCCUUAAAUACUGCUGCACGAGAGAAGCCAACACAGAUCAGAUGUGCAAAUGUUCCACCACAGUGAAAACUUGUACUUGGCAUGAAUGAUGGAGAGGUUGACAGAAACAGGAAAUAAAACAUUAAUUUAGAAACGUUUUUGUUUAAGCACUUCAGCAUUACCUCCUGUCUCACAAAGACUGCGGACACCCAGAAAAGGCCAUUUGUCCAUAGAGUAAGUACUUAAUGAAUAAAACAUGGCAUCUCACCAUUAGAAUUACUGUGAAUGAUGUCUUCUAAAACUUACUUGCAUAACUAUAAAAAAUAGUCAAUAGUUCAAAGAAGCGCUAUCAGAAACUUUAUGUACAAAUGACUGCAUGUAUUACCACUGCCAAAGACAUUUUACUUGAGAGAUAAUAAAGAUACCUAACACUACACUGCCCAAAUACAGACUUCAAAUGAGGGGUGACAAUUUUUUGCAAAACUUGAGCUGGAGGCACUAGUUAUAAAACUGCAGCUUUCUCUGUAAAAUUUCAAUCUCUUCAAUAGAAAAUACAGGACACAUUCAUAAAAUCCAUUUUUUAUUUUGCUAAAAUCCUUAUAAAUAUGAAAGCAGUGGAUCAACUCCACUGUUUUCAAUAUGUAAAAAACAUGUAAAACUUUUGUUUCUGAUACAAAGCAGUAGCCUUAUUACUUUCUCUUCUGAGGCAAACAAACUUCAUAACCUUCAUGCAAUCUGUAAACAUUUUGUCCACAUUCUGCAGCUACUCACAUGACAGGGAAACAUCAGAUCCAACACUAAGCCUAAAAAAGGGUAUGAAAACACGCAACACACUUCUGCUCUCCCCACGCACAUUUUCCAGAUGUCCUCAUUCAGAAAGAACCAACCUGAGGUCUUUUCAGCUACAUUCUUCUCCCUAUGCCAGAAAACAAAAAGUGCCUAGAAUUUUUUCCCCUUUGGUUAAUGCUUGUACUUACUGCCACUGCCAAAUAUCUUUUAUUUCUCCCAUGGUCUACUGUGUUCUUUCCUUCAGAAAACAUUCAGAAGGCAUCGAGAGGCCUUGCAGCAAUAGUAGCUAUAUGCUGGGGAGGAGAAAACAAACAAAAAAUCCACCUACCUUAAACUAAGCUAAAUAUCUAUGUCUCUAUGUCUAAUUUAUUCAGUUAUAAGAAGGUAUAUAAAGAUAAAAAAUCAAUCCUGAUUCAGAUUUCCCUCAUUUGUCCAUCUAAGAUCAAAAGACCUGUUGAGGUAAAAGGCACAGCCUAGAAAACCUAUAAAAAUCCUCAGAUUCAUGGAGAGCAGUCAUCAAAGAUGAGCCGGUCAGAAUUACUACAGAGAUUGCUGGUAGGUGCUGCCCCUGUAACCUCUAGCUGCCUCUUCCAGGUACCACUGUUUUUCACUACCUAGUUCUCACAAUCUGAGGGUAAAUCUAAUCCUAUACUAAGCUAUAUCCUAUAGCAAGUUCAUUAAAAAUAAUAAAAAUAAAUUUUGUGUAAAAUGAGCAAUUAUAUUCAGAUAACAAAAGCUCCUGAGAGAAACACACGCUCAAGUCAAUUCAUAAAGCCAGACGUUUCAAUGCAUCGCUGUUGAGGGCUGACCUUUUAUUAGAUUUUGACUUGAUUCUGAUUUCUUUGGCUAGUUCUAACUGCUAUCUUUGGUUUUGGAAUGUAAGUGCAACCACACAAGUUCAGCUAUGGCAGCAGAACAUCAGCCA